rnacentral:rRNA from 1 species
AGAGGUUGAUCAUGGCUCAGGAUGAACAGCUAGCGGCAGGCUUAAUACAUGCAAGUCGAGGGGCAGCACGGGGGCAACCCUGGUGGCGACCGGCAAACGGGUGCGGAACACGUACGCAACCUUCCCAAAACUGGUGAAUAGCCUUCCGAAAGGGAGAUUAAUACACCGUAACUUAAUGAAGUGGCAUCACUUUAUUAAUAUAGCUCCGGCGGUUUUGGAUGGGCGUGCGCCUGAUUAGGUAGUUGGUGAGGUAACGGCUCACCAAGCCUGCGAUCAGUAACUGGUGUGAGAGCACGACCAGUCACACGGGCACUGAGACACGGGCCCGACUCCUACGGGAGGCAGCAGUAAGGAAUAUUGGUCAAUGGACGCAAGUCUGAACCAGCCAUGCCGCGUGAAGGAUUAAGGCCCUCUGGGUUGUAAACUUCUUUUAUAGGGGACGAAAAAAGGGCAUUCUUGCUCACUUGACGGUACCCUAGGAAUAAGCACCGGCUAACUCCGUGCCAGCAGCCGCGGUAAUACGGAGGGUGCAAGCGUUAUCCGGAUUUACUGGGUUUAAAGGGUGCGUAGGUGGGUUGGUAAGUCAGUGGUGAAAUCUUCGAGCUUAACUCGGAAACUGCCAUUGAUACUAUCAAUCUUGAAUCAUCUAGAGGUAAGCGGAAUAUGUCAUGUAGCGGUGAAAUGCUUAGAUAUGACAUAGAACACCAAUUGCGAAGGCAGCUUACUAUGGAUGCAUUGACACUGAGGCACGAAAGCGUGGGGAUCAAACAGGAUUAGAUACCCUGGUAGUCCACGCCCUAAACGAUGGAUACUCGACAUUUGUGAUAUACUAUAAGUGUCUGAGCGAAAGCAUUAAGUAUCCCACCUGGGAAGUACGACCGCAAGGUUGAAACUCAANGAAUUGANGGGGGUCCG